rnacentral:rRNA from 1 species
GUGUCCGGCCACACUGGGACUGAGAUACGGCCCAGACUCCUACGGGAGGCAGCAGUGGGGAAUAUUGCACAAUGGGCGCAAGCCUGAUGCAGCGACGCCGCGUGGGGGAUGACGGCCUUCGGGUUGUAAACCUCUUUCACCAUCGGCGAAGCCUUCAGCUUUUGUUGGGGGUGACGGUAGGUGGAGAAGAAGCACCGGCCAACUACGUGCCAGCAGCCGCGGUAAUACGUAGGGUGCGAGCGUUGUCCGGAAUUACUGGGCGUAAAGAGCUCGUAGGUGGUUUGUCGCGUUGUUCGUGAAAUUCCCUGGCUUAACUGGGGGCGUGCGGGCGAUACGGGCAGACUGGAGUACUGCAGGGGAGACUGGAAUUCCUGGUGUAGCGGUGGAAUGCGCAGAUAUCAGGAGGAACACCGGUGGCGAAGGCGGGUCUCUGGGCAGUAACUGACGCUGAGGAGCGAAAGCGUGGGGAGCGAACAGGAUUAGAUACCCUGGUAGUCCACGCCGUAAACGGUGGGUACUAGGUGUGGGUUUCCUUCCUUGGGAUCCGUGCCGUAGCUAACGCAUUAAGUACCCCGCCUGGGGAGUACGGCCGCAAGGCUAAAACUCAAAGGAAUGACGG